GACGAACGCUGGCGGCGUGCUUAACACAUGCAAGUCGAACGGUGAAGCGCCUUCCUUUUUGGUGGGUGUGGAUGAGUGGCGAACGGGUGAGUAACACGUGAGUAACCUGCCCCCUUCUUCUGGAUAACCGCAUGAAAGUGUGGCUAAUACGGGAUAUUCUGGGUCUGUCGCAUGAUGGGUCUGGGAAAGAUAUUGUUUCGGUGGGGGAUGGGCUCGCGGCCUAUCAGCUUGUUGGUGGGGUGAUGGCCUACCAAGGCGGUGACGGGUAGCCGGCCUGAGAGGGUGGACGGUCACACUGGGACUGAGACACGGCCCAGACUCCUACGGGAGGCAGCAGUGGGGAAUAUUGCACAAUGGGCGAAAGCCUGAUGCAGCGACGCCGCGUGAGGGAUGGAGGCCUUCGGGUUGUGAACCUCUUUCGCCAGUGAAGCAGGCCUGCCUCGUUUGUGGGUGGGUUGACGGUAGCUGGAGAAGAAGCGCCGGCUAACUACGUG
rnacentral:rRNA from 1 species